rnacentral:rRNA from 1 species
AAACUAACAGGGAUUCCCCUAGUAACGGCGAGUGAAGCGGGAAGAGCUCAAAUUUGAAAUCUGGCAGUCUUCGAUUGUCCGAGUUGUAAUCUAUAGAGGCGUUUUCCGUGCCGGACCGUGUCCAAGUCUCCUGGAAAGGAGUAUCAAAGAGGGUGAUAAUCCCGUACUUAACACGACCACCGGUGCUCUGUGAUACGUCUUCUACGAGUCGAGUUGUUUGGGAAUGCAGCUCAAAAUGGGUGGUGAAUUCCAUCUAAAGCUAAAUAUUGGCGAGAGACCGAUAGCGAACAAGUACCGUGAGGGAAAGAUGAAAAGCACUUUGGAAAGAGAGUUAAACAGUACGUGAAAUUGUUGAAAGGGAAACGAUUGAAGUCAGUCGUGUUCUUUGGAUUCAGCCAGUUCUGCUGGUCUACUUCCUUGGAACGGGUCAACAUCAGUUUUGUCCGGUGGAUAAAGGUAGUAGGAAUGUGACUUCUCCGGAAGUGUUAUAGCCUAUUAUCACAUACACUGGGUGAGACUGAGGACUGCAGCUCGCCUUUAUGGCCGGCCUUCGGGCACGUUCGAGCUUAGGAUGUUGACAUAAUGCUU